rnacentral:lncRNA from 1 species
AUGCUAACGUGGGGGCUGGGUGUGUGGAUAAAGACUGGUGAUAAGAGUUAGCUUAGCUAGUUAGCUAGUCAGGAGAGGCGUUUUAGCGGGCAAAAUGCUAACCUGGGGGCUCUGUGUGUGGAUAAGGACUGGGGUUAAGAGUUAGCUUAGCUAGCUAGCAAGUCUGGAGAGGCGUUUUUAGCGGGCAAAAUGCUAACGUGGGGGCUCGGUGUGUGGAUAAAGACUGGUGAUAAUAGAGUUAGCUAACCUUGCUAGUUUUGUUUUGUAUUUGUUCAAAAUUUAACUUGCCUGUUGACCAUAUUUUUAGAUCCACUUAGCGAUUUAGUUAUUUCACACUGUUUUGAGUUGUGCACUUGUUCAUUUAAAUAUCAAAGAGGAGUUCCAGCGCAUAACUAACGUUACUUUGCAUCUGGAGUCAAAAUUCAUGUUAAAGCUUGACCAGUAUACGUUACACAAAAACUUCUCUAUCUUCAGUGCCAAGGCCGGAGCGUCAGGAAGAAGAAUGCAAGGCAUAAUGAGCUGUUUGGUCAAGGGAGCAGUCACCACUGAGAAAAGAAGAGAAGUAGUCCUUCGCUGCCUGGUGGAGUAUGUGGGGGAACAUGGCCUGCUCACAGAACACUUUGUAAAUAAAAUCUGCAGUGGUUAACAUUACAGUGAACUAAGCAAUAUUAGUUAAUUUUCCCAAGGUGCCACAUGAGGAAUUGCAACGGUUUUAGCCAGACUAAUAUACAUAGCUCGGUUCUGCACAAAACAUGUAUACUGUAGGGCUAUACAGCAUUUAUAAUAACCAUUUUUAUAUUAAAAAAAAUAGUAAAUUAAACAUUACAAUAAUAAAUGAAAAUGUGGUGCAUUACA